ACCGCGAAUGGCUCAUUAAAUCAGUCAUAAUUCAUUGGAUAGUGCUAAAUCCUACUCGGAUAACUGUGGAAAAUCCAGAGCUAAUACGUGCAACGAAACGCCGACUUGCGAGAGGAGUCAAAUUUUCUCGUACGGGAGGCGUGCAAUUAUUAGAUUCAAAACCGACUGUAUCAUGUCAGAUUUGAUGACUCCGGAUAAUUCCGCCGAGCGCAUAGGCCGUUUUCGUGCCGGCGCCGUAUCUUCCAAGUGACUGCCUUAUCAGCUUUCGAUUGUAGGUUAAACGCCUACAAUGGCUGUAACGGGUAACGGGGAAUCAGGGUUCGAUUCCGGAGAGGGAGCCUGAGAAACGGCUACCACAUCUAAGGAAGGCAGCAGGCGCGUAAAUUACCCAAUCCCGGCUUAGGGGAGGUAGUGACGAAAAAUAACGAUGCGAGACUCUUCCGAGGCCUCGCAAUCGGAAUGAGAUCGGUUUAAAACCCCGAUCGAGGAUCUAUUGGAGGGCAAGUCUGGUGCCAGCAGCCGCGGUAAUUCCAGCUCCAAUAGCGUAUAUCAAUGUUGCUGCGGUUAAAAAGCUCGUAGUUGGAACUCACUACGGAGCGCGGUUCGUUACCGCGUGGGCUAGUACCUUCGGGGAAUGCUCGCGUCGCUCGUAGCCCGCCUCCUAGUUUUAAAUCAGCCGCCCCGGUGAGAGUGCUCUUGACUGAGUGUUUUCGUCGGGUGGCGCGUUCACUUUGAAAAAAUUAGAGUGCUUCAAGCAGGUCCUCGAUACCUGAAUAGUGGUGCAUGGAAUGAAGGAACAGGACUUCGGUUCCGUUCUUUUUGUUUGGUCGGUUUUUCCGAACCGAAGUAAUGAUUAAAAGGAACAGACGGUGGCAUUCGUAUUGCGACGCUAGAGGUGAAAUUCUUGGACCGUCGCAAGACGCACUACUGCGAAAGCAUUUGCCGAGAAUGUUUUCAUUAAUCAAGAACGAAAGUUAGAGGAUCGAAGGCGAUCAGAUACCGCCCUAGUUCUAACCCUAAACGAUGCUAACUAGCGAUCCGUCGGCGUCAUUCCCACGACUCGACGGGAAGCUCCCGGGAAACCCAUAAGUCUUUGAGUUCCGGGGGAAGUAUGGUUGCAAAUCUGAAACUUAAAGGAAUUGACGGAAGGGCACCACCAGGAGUGGAGCCUGCGGCUUAAUUUGACUCAACACGGGGAACCUCACCAGGCCCGGACAUCGGCAGGAUUGACAGAUUGAGAGCUCUUUCUCGAUUCGAUGGGUGGUGGUGCAUGGCCGUUCUUAGUUGGUGGAGUGAUCUGUCUGGUUGAUUCCGAUAACGAACGAGACUCUGUCCUGCUAACUAGUGGAGUCGCCAUUCGAGCUGGAAAGAGGGCAUUCAUCCCAGUUUGUCGCGCGUGCGUGUAGGAAAGUUUAGGUUCGCUUAUUCCGACUUAUGCGUUGCGUGAGGCGACCGCGGCUCUGUUUUCGACUUCUUAGUAGGUUCCGGCGGCUCAUUGAUCUUCUUAGAGGGAUCGGCGACGCGUUUAGUCGCAUGAGAGAUCGAGCAAUAACAGGUCUGUGAUGCCCUUAGAUGUUCUGGGCCGCACGCGCGCUACAAUGUAGGUAUCAGCGUGCAUUCGAACCCUCUCCGAAAGGAGCGGGGAAUCCCGUGAAACGCCUACCCGCUUGGGAUUGGGGCUUGAAAAUGUUUCCCAUAAACGAGGAAUUCCCAGUAAGCGCGAGUCAUCAGCUCGCGUUGAUUACGUCCCUGCCCUUUGUACACACCGCCCGUCGCUACUACCGAUUGAAUGAUUCAGUGAGGUCAUCGGACUGGCGCCUUCGCCGUCAAAAAGCUUAGGCUGACGGAAAGAUGCCCGAACUCGAUCAUUUAGAGGAAGUAAAAGUCG
rnacentral:rRNA from 1 species